AUUCGAACCUGCGGCAGGUUCGGGUCUCACGUAGUGAGACAACGGAGCCGCUUGCGGCGACGGCCCGAAGGGCGAGGCGAAGCCGAGUCAUCCUGCACGACCCACCA
rnacentral:sRNA from 1 species